rnacentral:rRNA from 1 species
GUGAGGAAUUUUCCGCAAUGGGCGAAAGCCUGACGGAGCAAUGCCGCGUGAAGGAUGAAGGCCUAUGGGUUGUAAACUUCUUUUCUCAGAAAAGAAUUAUGACGGUAUCUGAGGAAUAAGCAUCGGCUAACUCUGUGCCAGCAGCCGCGGUAAGACAGAGGAUGCAAGCGUUAUCCGGAAUAAUUGGGCGUAAAGCGUCUGUAGGUUGUUUAAAAAGUAUUCUGUCAAAGAUUAGGGCUUAACCCUAGAUAGGCAGAAUAAACUUUUAAGCUAGAGUUUGGUAGAGGCAGAGGGAAUUCCCGGUGGAGCGGUGAAAUGCGUAGAUAUCGGGAGGAACACCAAAGGCGAAGGCACUCUGCUGGGCCAAUACUAACACUGAGAGACGAAAGCGAGGGGAGCAAACAGGAUUAGAUACCCCGGUAGUCC